rnacentral:rRNA from 1 species
GACGAACGCUGGCGGCGUGCUUAACACAUGCAAGUCGAACGGAAAGGCCCCUUUGGGGGUACUCGAGUGGCGAACGGGUGAGUAACACGUGAGUAACCUGCCCUUGACUUCGGGAUAACUUCAGGAAACUGGGGCUAAUACCGGAUGGGAAUCCUUGCUGCAUGGUGGGGGUUGGAAAGCUUCGGCGGUUUUGGAUGGACUCACGGCUUAUCAGCUUGUUGGUGGGGUAGUGGCUUACCAAGGCUUUGACGGGUAGCCGGCCUGAGAGGGCGACCGGCCACAUUGGGACUGAGAUACGGCCCAGACUCCUACGGGAGGCAGCAGUGGGGAAUAUUGCACAAUGGGCGGAAGCCUGAUGCAGCAACGCCGCGUGCGGGAUGACGGCCUUCGGGUUGUAAACCGCUUUCAGCAGGGGCGAAGCUUGUGGUGACGGUACCUGCAGAAGAAGCACCGGCUAACUACGUG